rnacentral:rRNA from 1 species
UGGACCUACGGGAGGCAGCAGUGAGGAAUAUUGGUCAAUGGCCGAGAGGCUGAACCAGCCAAGUCGCGUGAGGGAAGACGGCCCUACGGGUUGUAAACCUCUUUUGUCGGGGAGCAAAGAGAGUCACGUGUGACUCAUUGAGGGUACCCGAAGAAAAAGCAUCGGCUAACUCCGUGCCAGCAGCCGCGGUAAUACGGAGGAUGCGAGCGUUAUCCGGAUUUAUUGGGUUUUAAGGGUGCGCAGGCGGAGGUGCAAGUCAGCGGUCAAAUUGCGGGGCUCAACCCCGUACUGCCGUUGAAACUGCA